GUGAACGCUGGCGGUAGGCCUAACACAUGCCGGUCGAACGGCAGCACAGUAAGAGCUUGCUCUUACGGGUGGCGAGUGGCGGACGGGUGAGGAAUACAUCGGAAUCUACUUUUUCGUGGGGGAUAACGUAGGGAAACUUACGCUAAUACCGCAUACGACCUACGGGUGAAAGCAGGGGAUCUUCGGACCUUGCGCGAUUGAAUGAGCCGAUGUCGGAUUAGCUAGUUGGCGGGGUAAAGGCCCACCAAGGCGACGAUCCGUAGCUGGUCUGAGAGGAUGAUCAGCCACACUGGAACUGAGACACGGUCCAGACUCCUACGGGAGGCAGCAGUGGGGAAUAUUGGACAAUGGGCGCAAGCUCGAUCCAGCCAUACCGCGUGGGUGAAGAAGGCCUUCGGGUUGUAAAGCCCUUUUGUUGGGAAAGAAAAGCAGCAGGUUAAUACCCCGCUGUUCUGACGGUACCCAAAGAAUAAGCACCGGCUAACUUCGUG
rnacentral:rRNA from 1 species